GAUGAACGCUAGCUACAGGCUUAACACAUGCAAGUCGAGGGGAAACGACAUCGAAAGCUUGCUUUUGAUGGGCGUCGACCGGCGCACGGGUGAGUAACGCGUAUCCAACCUGCCCAUCACUUGGGAAUAACCUUGCGAAAGUAGGACUAAUACCCAAUGAUAUCCCACGAAGGCAUCGGAAUGGGAUUAAAGAUUUAUCGGUGAUGGAUGGGGAUGCGUCUGAUUAGCUUGUUGGCGGGGUAACGGCCCACCAAGGCAACGAUCAGUAGGGGUUCUGAGAGGAAGGUCCCCCACAUUGGAACUGAGACACGGUCCAAACUCCUACGGGAGGCAGCAGUGAGGAAUAUUGGUCAAUGGGCGAGAGCCUGAACCAGCCAAGUAGCGUGCAGGAAGACGGCCCUAUGGGUUGUAAACUGCUUUUAUAAGGGAAUAAAGUGGGUCACGUGUGACUUUUUGCAUGUACCUUAUGAAUAAGGACCGGCUAAUUCCGUG
rnacentral:rRNA from 1 species